ACCGCGGCAGCCCAGUUGGUUAGGGCGUCGGCAGUACUGAUGCUGGAGGUCGCAGGUUCAAAUCCUGCCUGCAGUG